CGCGUAGGCGGUCUGGUAAGCGAGGGGUGAAAGCCCACGGCUCAACUGCGGAAUUGCUCUUCGAACUGCCGGACUAGAGGCCGGGAGAUGGCAGCGGAAUUGCCGGUGUAGCGGUGAAAUGCGUAAAUAUCGGCAAGAACGCCAGUGGUGAAGACGGCUGCCUAGAACGGUCCUGACGCUGAGGCGCGAAAGCUGGGGGAGCGAACCGGAUUAGAUACCCGGGUAGUCCCAGCCCUAAACUAUGCGGGCUAGGUGUUGGAGGUGUCGACCCCUCCAGUGCUGCUAAGCUAACACGUUAAGCCCGCCGCCUGGGGAGUACGGCCGCAAGGCUGAA
rnacentral:rRNA from 1 species